UGCCCCAGUAACGGCGAGUGAAGCGGCAACAGCUCAAAUUUGAAAUCUGGCCCCCUCGGGGUCCGAGUUGUAAUUUGCAGAGGAUGCUUCGGCGUUGGCCCCGGGAUAGGUCCCCUGGAACGGGGCGCCGUAGAGGGUGAGAGCCCCGUACUCGCCCGGCCGGCCUCCGCCGCGUGAAGCUCCUUCGAAGAGUCGAGUUGUUUGGGAAUGCAGCUCUAAGCGGGAGGUAAAUUUCUUCUAAAGCUAAAUACCGGCCAGAGACCGAUAGCGCACAAGUAGAGUGAUCGAAAGAUGAAAAGCACUUUGGAAAGAGAGUUAAAAAGCACGUGAAAUUGUUGAAAGGGAAGCGCUUGCCGCCAGACUUGCCCCGUUGUUUAUCCGUCCUACUGGGCGGUGCACUCUUCCGGCGGCAGGCCAGCGUCAGUUCGGGCGGUCGGACAAAGGCCGCGGGAACGUAGCACCCCUCGGGGUGCGUUAUAGCCCGCGGUGCAAUGCGGCCAGCCCGGUCUGAGGCACGCGUUCGCGAGGACGCNGGCGUAANGGCGGCAAGCGACCCGUCUUGAAACACGGACCAAGGAGUCUAACAUCUAUGCGAGUGUUUGGGUGUCAAACCCAUGCGCACAAUUAAAGUGAACGGAGGUUGGAACCCCCUCGAGGGUCGCACAAUCGACCGAUCCUGAUGUCUUCGGAUGGAUUUGAGUAAGAGCAUAGCUGUUGGGACCCGAAAGAUGGUGAACUAUACCCGGACAGGGCGAAGCCAGAGGAAACUCUGGUGGAGGCUCGCAGCGGUUCUGACGUGCAAAUCGAUCGUCAAAUCUAGGUAUAGGGGUGAGUCAACUCUUUCCUAUCUCGAUUUUUUAUACCUUCCUAUAGAAGGAGCUAUACGUCAUAGCCCUUGCCGCGACCUAUACCGAUUUAAUAGUAAGGACUGGCUUUAUACCAGCCUUCUAAAGAAAGAUAUUUCCUAAUCCGUCAAUUCUUUACUAUAUCCAUAUUUAUUCACAUGUCUACAUCCAUCUACUAAUUAAGUAAUACGUAUACUAACCUAUUACCCUUUUAGGCGAAAGACCAAUCGAACCUUCUAGUAGCUGGUUCCUGCCGAAGUUUCCCUCAGGAUAGCAGUGACGCAUUCAGUUUUAUGAGGUAAAGCGAAUGAUUAGAGGCCUUGGGGUUGAAACAACCUUAACCUAUUCUCAAACUUUAAAUAUGUAAGAAGCUCUUGUUGCUUAGCUGAACGUGAGCAGUCGAAUGGACCGUCACUAGUGGGCCAUUUUUGGUAAGCAGAACUGGCGAUGCGGGAUGAACCGAAAGCGAGGUUAAGGUGCCGGAAUGCACGCUUAUCAGACACCACAAAAGGUGUUAGUUGAUCCUGACAGCAGGACGGUGGCCAUGGAAGUCGGAACCCGCUAAGGAGUGUGUAACAACUCACCUGCCGAAUCAACUAGCCCUGAAAAUGGAUGGCGCUCAAGCGUGCUACCCACACCUCGCCGCCGGGGCAGGAUCGAGGCCCCGGCGAGUAGGCAGGCGUGGGGGUCAAGGUGACGAAGCCCAGGGAGCGAUCCCGGGUAGAACGGCCCCCAGUG
rnacentral:rRNA from 1 species